GAUGAACGCUGGCGGCGUGCCUAAUACAUGCAAGUCGAGCGAACGGACGAGAAGCUUGCUUCUCUGAUGUUAGCGGCGGACGGGUGAGUAACACGUGGAUAACCUACCUAUAAGACUGGGAUAACUUCGGGAAACCGGAGCUAAUACCGGAUAAUAUUUUGAACCGCAUGGUUCAAAAGUGAAAGACGGUCUUGCUGUCACUUAUAGAUGGAUCCGCGCUGCAUUAGCUAGUUGGUAAGGUAACGGCUUACCAAGGCAACGAUGCAUAGCCGACCUGAGAGGGUGAUCGGCCACCCUGGAACUGAGACACGGUCCAGACUCCUACGGGAGGCAGCAGUAGGGAAUCUUCCGCAAUGGGCGAAAGCCUGACGGAGCAACGCCGCGUGAGUGAUGAAGGUCUUCGGAUCGUAAAACUCUGUUAUUAGGGAAGAACAUAUGUGUAAGUAACUGUGCACAUCUUGACGGUACCUAAUCAGAAAGCCACGGCUAACUACGU
rnacentral:rRNA from 1 species